GACGGGACCCGCACAAGCGGUGGAUGAUGUGGUUUAAUUCGAUGCAACGCGAAAACCUUACCCACCUUUGACAUGUACGGAACCCUUUAGAGAUAGAGGGUGCUCGAAAGAGAGCCGUAACACAGGUGCUGCAUGGCUGUCGUCAGCUCGUGUCGUGAGAUGUUGGGUUAAGUCCCGCAACGAGCGCAACCCUUGUCAUUAGUUGCUACAUUCAGUUGGGCACUCUAAUGAGACUGCCGGUGACAAGCCGGAGGAAGGUGGGGAUGACGUCAAGUCCUCAUGGCCCUUAUAGGUGGGGCUACACACGUCAUACAAUGGCUGGUACCAAAGGGUUCGCCAACCCGCGAGGGGAGCCAAUCCCAUAAAGCCAGUCGUAGUCCGGAUCGUAGUCUGCAACUCGACUACGUGAAGUCGGAAUCGCUAGUAAUCGUGGAUCAGAAUGUCACGGUGAAUACGUUCCCGGGUCUU
rnacentral:rRNA from 1 species